UCCUACGGGGGGCAGCAGUAGGGAAUUUUCGUCAAUGGGCGCAAGCCUGAACGAGCAAUGCCGCGUGAACGAGGAAGGUCUUCGGAUCGUAAGGUUCUGUUGAAGGGGAAAAAGAGCGGAGAGAGGAAAUGGUCUCCGAUUGAUAUUACCCUUCGAGGAAGUCACGGCUAACUACGUGCCAGCAGCCGCGGUAAUACGUAGGUGGCGAGCGUUAUCCGGAGUGAUUGGGCGUAAAGGGUGCGUAGGCGGCCUGCUAAGUCUGGAGUGAAAGGUACCGGCUCAACCGGUACAGGCUCUGGAAACUG
rnacentral:rRNA from 1 species